CUGCAGGAAGAGAGGUGUAGCUCGUGGUGAGAGCUGAGAAGUGGAGCUUAAGAAGGAUCAAUGACAGAGAUAAACUUGGACAGUAUAUACAGGAGAAUAUCUACACUGAAAAGGUAGCAGAUUUGAUGUCCAUUUUAUUGUACCUUGUGUCGAGGACGGGGUAAGAAGUCCUUGAAGAAGCUGCCAGAGCAGUGGUAUCCACACCAAAUCUUCAUGAGGACUCAGGGCAAAGGGAACUGAGGAAAGCUUUGCAGACAAGAUACACAUUGCCUCACUUCAGAGGAGCAGCACAUGAAGCAGUAAGCAC
rnacentral:lncRNA from 1 species